CAAGGCAGCUCCUAGGCCAGGAGGUAUUGGCAGUGCAGCAGCAGGUCAGCCUGGCAUGGAGGGAGACAGCAUGUUGUCAAAGAUCCUCCCUGGAAAUGCCGCUGAGCAGGCCGGCAAACUGGGAGAAGCUAUCACCGGUUUUGGCAAGAAAUUCACCUCUUUCUUCUGAGGUGCUCAGAUUAAGGACUAUGUAAAUGUCAAAUGAUGAAGUCACGAGGCCCCGUACCAGAAAAACCUGUGAAGUUCCCCCUGCUUUUGUUUUACUGAAAGAGAGAGAGGAAGGAGAGAGGAGAACAGAGACGAGAGCUGAGC